GGGCCCGUAGCUCAGUUCGGUCAGAGCGACCGGCUCAUAACCGGUCGGUCGAGCGUUCAAAUCGCUCCGGGCCCA
rnacentral:tRNA from 1 species